rnacentral:rRNA from 1 species
CCUACGGGAGGCAGCAGUGGGGAAUAUUGGGCAAUGGGCUCAAGCCUGAACCAGCAACGCCGCGUGAAGGAAGAAGGCUUUCGGGUUGUAAACUUCUUUUGUCAGGGACGAAGCAAGUGACGGUACCUGCCGAAUAAGCCACGGCUAACUACGUGCAAGCAGCCGCGGUAAUACGUAGGAGGCAAGCGUUAUCCGGAUUUACUGGGUGUAAAGGGCGUGUAGGCGGGACUGCAAGUCAGAUGUGAAAACCACGGGCUCAACCUGUGGCCUGCAUUUGAAACUGUAGUUCUUGAGUACUGGAGAGGAAGACGGAAUUCCUAGUGUAGCGGUGAAAUGCGUAGAUAUUAGGAGGAACACCAGUGGCGAAGGCGGUCUGCUGGACAGCAACUGACGCUGAGGCGCGAAAGCGUUGGGAGCAAACAGGAUUAGAUACCCGGGUAGUC